GAAUGAUCCGGCGAGUUAUGGAUGGUUGCAAGGUUAACCUGGCGGUGACAAGCUGUCAGGGAAGCCGUAGCGAAAGCGAGUCUGAAUAGGGCGCCCAGUAGCCAUCUAUAGACCCGAAGCCAAGUGAUCUAACCCUGGCCAGAGUGAAGCCACCUUAAUCGGUGGUGGAGGCUCGAAGUGUUGAGUGUUGAAAAACUCCUACAUGAGCUGGGGUUAGGGGCGAAAGGCCAAUCGAACUUGGUGAUAGCUGGUUCUCCCCGAAAUAGCUUUAGGGCUAGCCUCACGCGAUGACUUGAGGGGGUAGAGCACUGGAUAAUGUAGGGCCAAUAACCUUGGUUCCGAAGUUAACCAAACUCCGAAUACCUCAGGGUGAGCGUGGGAGUCAGUACACGAGGGCUAAGCUUCGUGGGCAAGAGGGGAACAUCCCAGACCGUCGAUCUAGGUCCCAAAGUGCAUGCUAAGUGGUAAAGGUUGUGGAUUUGCUGAAACAGCUGGGAGGUUAGCUUAGAAGCAGCUAUCCUUUAAAGAGUGCGUAACAGCUCACCAGUCAAGCGAGUCUGCGCCGAAAAUGAUCGGGGCUAAAGCACGGUACCGCAAUCACGGCUAUGAGGUCUCUACGGAGACUUUAUGGGGUAGGGGAGCGUUCUGGACGGGACGAAGGCAUACCGUAAGGAGUGCUGGACUGUCCAGAAGUGAGAAUGUCGGAAUAAGUAGCGAUAUGGCAGGUGAGAAUCCUGCCCGCCGUAAGUCUAAGGUUUCCUUGAGCAACGUUCGUCGGCUCAGGGUUAGUCGGUCCUAAGUGGAGGCCGAAAGGCGUACAUGAAGGACAUCAGGUUAAUAUUCCUGAACUAUGUUUGAAGCGUUAUCACCUAAGGAGGGACGCAGAAGAGUAAGCCAUCCUACGACCGGACGUGUAGGUUCAAGAGCGUAGGCCUUUCCUGGCCAGUAAAUCUACCGGGAUAGCCGAGACUCGAAUACGAUUCCUGGGAAACCAGGGAGAAGUGGCCCAAUCCCGCUGCCAAGAAAAUCUUCGUAGGGAGUUUCAAGCAUACCCGUACCGCAAACCGACACAGGUAGACGAGGAGAAUAUCCUAAGGCGCGCGAGUGAACUCUGGUUAAGGAACUAGGCAAACUGGUCCCGUAACUUCGGAAGAAGGGAUGCCUGCCGAUUUAACUCCGUACAGGGGAAGGAUUGGCGGGUCGCAGUGAAAUGGCUCUCGUGACUGUUUAACAAAAACACAGGCCUCUGCUGAAAUCACAAGAUGAUGUAUAGGGGCUGAUGCCUGCCCGGUGCUGGAAGGUCACGGGGAGAUGUUAGUGCGGCGCAAGCCGUGCAAAGCAUUGAACCUAAGCCCCAGUAAACGGCGGCCGUAACUAUAACGGUCCUAAGGUAGCGAAAUUCCUUGUCGGGUAAGUUCCGACCUGCACGAAUGGCAUAACAAAGAGAGCGCUGUCUCAACCAGAGGCUCGGUGAAAUUGGGGUGCAAGUGAAGACGCUUGCUGCCCGCGGCUAGACGAAAAGACCCCGUGAAGCUUUACUGUAUCCUGAUGUGGGAUUACGGGGUUGGAUACGUAGGAUAGGUGGGAGGCUUU
rnacentral:rRNA from 1 species